rnacentral:rRNA from 1 species
AGUGACUAAGCGUACACGGUGGAUGCCUGGGCAGUCAGAGGCGAUGAAGGACGUACUAACUUGCGAUAAGCGCAGAUAAGGCAGUAAGAGCCGUUUGAGUCUGCGAUUUCCGAAUGGGGAAACCCAACUGCAUAAGCAGUUACUGUUAACUGAAUACAUAGGUUAACAGAGCAAACCGGGGGAACUGAAACAUCUAAGUACCCCGAGGAGAAGAAAUCAACCGAGAUUCCGGUAGUAGCGGCGAGCGAACCUGGAUUAGCCCUUAAGCACUCGGUGAAGUAGGUGAACAAGCUGGAAAGCUUGGCGAUACAGGGUGAUAGCCCCGUAACCGACGCUUCAUCGAGCGUGAAAUCGAGUAGGGCGGGACACGUGAUAUCCUGUCUGAAUAUGGGGGGACCAUCCUCCAAGGCUAAAUACUCCUGACUGACCGAUAGUGAACCAGUACCGUGAGGGAAAGGCGAAAAGAACCCCUGUGAGGGGAGUGAAAUAGAACCUGAAACCGUGUACGUACAAGCAGUAGGAGCACCUUCGUGGUGUGACUGCGUACCUUUUGUAUAAUGGGUCAGCGACUUAUAUUCAGUGGCAAGGUUAACCGUAUAGGGGAGCCGUAGCGAAAGCGAGUCUUAACUGGGCGCUCAGUCUCUGGAUAUAGACCCGAAACCGGGUGAUCUAGCCAUGGGCAGGUUGAAGGUUGAGUAACAUCAACUGGAGGACCGAACCGACUAAUGUUGAAAAAUUAGCGGAUGACUUGUGGCUAGGGGUGAAAGGCCAAUCAAACUCGGAGAUAGCUGGUUCUCCCCGAAAGCUAUUUAGGUAGCGCCUCGGACGAAUACUACUGGGGGUAGAGCACUGUUAAGGCUAGGGGGUCAUCCCGACUUACCAACCCUUUGCAAACUCCGAAUACCAGUAAGUACUAUCCGGGAGACACACGGCGGGUGCUAACGUCCGUCGUGGAGAGGGAAACAACCCAGACCGCCAGCUAAGGUCCCAAAGUAUUGCUAAGUGGGAAACGAUGUGGGAAGGCUCAGACAGCUAGGAUGUUGGCUUAGAAGCAGCCAUCAUUUAAAGAAAGCGUAAUAGCUCACUAGUCGAGUCGGCCUGCGCGGAAGAUGUAACGGGGCUAAGCA